AGGACGAACGCUGGCGGCGUGCUUAACACAUGCAAGUCGAGCGGUAAGGCCUUUCGGGGUACACGAGCGGCGAACGGGUGAGUAACACGUGGGUGAUCUGCCCUGCACUUCGGGAUAAGCCUGGGAAACUGGGUCUAAUACCGGAUAUGACCUCCUAUCGCAUGGUGGGUGGUGGAAAGAUUUAUCGGUGCAGGAUGGGCCCGCGGCCUAUCAGCUUGUUGGUGGGGUAAUGGCCUACCAAGGCGACGACGGGUAGCCGACCUGAGAGGUGACCGGCCACACUGGGACUGAGACACGGCCCAGACUCCUACGGGAGCAGCAGUGGGGAAUAUUGCACAAUGGGCGAAAGCCUGAUGCAGCGACGCCGCGUGAGGGAUGACGGCC
rnacentral:rRNA from 1 species